ACUCCUACGGGAGGCAGCAGUGGGGAAUCUUAGACAAUGGGCGCAAGCCUGAUCUAGCCAUGCCGCGUGAGUGAUGAAGGCCUUAGGGUCGUAAAGCUCUUUCGCCAGGGAUGAUAAUGACAGUACCUGGUAAAGAAACCCCGGCUAACUCCGUGCCAGCAGCCGCGGUAAUACGGAGGGGUUAGCGUUGUUCGGAAUUACUGGGGCGUAAAGCGCGCGUAGGCGGAUUAGUCAGUUAGAGGUGAAAUCCCGGGGCUCAACCCCGGAACUGCCUUUAAUACUGCUAGUCUUGAGUUCGAGAGAGGUGAGUGGAAUUCCGAGUGUAGAGGUGAAAUUCGUAGAUAUUCGGAGGAACACCAGUGGCGAAGGCGGCUCACUGGCUCGAUACUGACGCUGAGGUGCGAAAGUGUGGGGAGCAAACAGGAUUAGAUACCCUGGUAGGAUAGCG
rnacentral:rRNA from 1 species